rnacentral:rRNA from 1 species
CCUACGGGUGGCAGCAGUGGGGAAUAUUGGACAAUGGGGGGAACCCUGAUCCAGCCAUGCCGCGUGUGUGAAGAAGGCCCUCGGGUUGUAAAGCACUUUCAGUGAGGAAGAACGCCUGGUGGUUAAUACCCAUCAGGAAAGACAUCACUCACAGAAGAAGCACCGGCUAACUCCGGUGCCAGCAGCCGCGGUAAUACGGAGGGUGCGAGCGUUAAUCGGAAUUACUGGGCGUAAAGCGCGCGUAGGUGGCUUGAUAAGCCGGUUGUGAAAGCCCCGGGCUCAACCUGGGAACGGCAUCCGGAACUGUCAAGCUAGAGUGCAGGAGAGGAAGGUAGAAUUCCCGGUGUAGCGGUGAAAUGCGUAGAGAUCGGGAGGAAUACCAGUGGCGAAGGCGGCCUUCUGGACUGACACUGACACUGAGGUGCGAAAGCGUGGGUAGCAAACAGGAUUAGAUACCCUUGUAGUC